UCAAUUCUUCUGAUAUAAUGC
rnacentral:siRNA from 1 species